AUUAAAAAAGAAAAGAAAAACAGACUUCCUCUUCUAGCUCGUGAAUCCUUUCCUCCCAAUCUCACUCCCUCUGCAUCGCUCUCCACUCUCCGCCUCGAACUCGCUCUCAAUUUCCUCUUCUCACCAAAAACCCCUCAAUCCUCUUGCUCUCAAAUGAAUGCUCCAGAAAGACUUAAAAAAAACACUCACCUCCGGUAGUGGUAAUGACGGUGAUGAUGGAGUUUGGAAGGGUGUCGUGGCUGACGGUGAAGGAUCCGCGGAGGAAGAUUUCGGGCCUUUUCGGUUUGUCCGUUAACUCCUUUUUUCAAUUUUUCGUUGUGACUAGGGUUUUUUGAAUCGCCUCCGCCGUCCCCUUUCUCUCUCUCACUCGCUUCCUUUUAUCCUUGCACAUUAGGGUUUCGGUUGGUGUAUGAAGAUUCAAAAGAGAAAGCUCCAGAAAAUCUUUUGGAUGCUCAGAAUUGGAGUUUAGCCUGUUUGAUGCUAUCUUCCGGAAAGGGAAUUGAACUGCUGAUGCUGCUGUAAUAGAUGCAUUUCAUUUAUUCCUGAAUGCUGUCUAGGUAAAGGCUGAAGCAUUCCGUUUUGGCGGCCACUUAAUUGCUGUUGUCCUCCAAAGAAAUCAAAAUUGACAGGAGAUUCACCAGCAUCAUUCCUAGCCAAGUUUUUCUUAUAAAGCUCAAGACCACUGCUCCCUUGUGACUCUGGCACAGGGCCACCAUUGUGUUUGUUGUAGUGAUCAAGCUUGACGAGAAGAGACUUGAACCGCUAUCCAUAGCCAAAAUCAGCUUGAUACUGGAUACAAGAAGGUUAUCAUGACGAAGAUAUCUAAUUACCAACUUCUGCAGGACCUUCUUUGCAAGUCGAAUCUUGACCGGUGAAAACCACUAGAAGCCGUUGCUGCAACACGGAAAUCAACUGGGGUGAAGCCAACAAGGGAACAACUUGAAGCCGCAAUGGAAUUCUGGGAAAGCUUGAAGUACAUUUGAUCCCUGGAUACAGACCGCCAAUUUGGUCCUGUCACCCACCUCCGGUACCUAUGAGUUGUUCCAACACCAAAACGAGUCUAGCAACAUUCAACAUUUGGUUAGAGCAGGUAGCAAUGCUCUUUGAAAUUGCACCUAAAAGAAAGGCCAAAAGCGCAGACAGUGAUGCUGGAGAUACUCCUUUCUCAGCGGUGUUUUGUUUAUUCGUCGGCACUUGCUGCUUCAGCGGAUCAAAUAUUGUACUGAAUUGCAGGGUUGGCAGGAGAUUUACCGAGCUCAACCAAGGAGCUGUAACUCAAGAUUGAAGUCUGCUUGGACCACCUUUUUUAUUUGUCUUCAAUUUUUGUUUAGCCAUAGUUUUGCUUUUUAAAUGCCAAACAUUGUAGAACAUAUGUAUUUCUUCAUUGCUACGAUCACAGAAAAUUGAUGCUAAAAUCUAAAUAAGUUUAUGA